UACGGAGGAGGCAAGCGUUAUCCGGAAUUAUUGGGCGUAAAGCGUCCGUAGGUGGCUAGUCAAGUCUGCGGUCAAAGACUGGGGCUUAACCCUGGAAAGGCCGUGGAAACUGACGAGCUAGAGUGCAGUAGGGGUAGAGGGAAUUCCCGGUGUAGCGGUGAAAUGCGUAGAGCUCGGGAAGAACAUCGGUGGCGAAAGCGCUCUACUGGACUGCAACUGACACUCAGGGACGAAAGCGUGGGGAGCGAACAGG
rnacentral:rRNA from 1 species